rnacentral:rRNA from 1 species
GUCUAUGGUCCCAUCACCCCAGAUGUGCCUGAUUUUGUCUGAUCUUGGAAGCUAAGCAGUGUUGGGCCUGGUUAGGACUUGGAUAGGAGAAAUCCCUUAUGUUGAGAUCCCUUUCUCCCGUAUUCC